rnacentral:rRNA from 1 species
AUUGAACGCUGGCGGCAGGCUUAACACAUGCAAGUCGAGCGAGCGGCGGACGGGUGAGUAAUGUCUGGGAAACUGCCUGAUGGAGGGGGAUAACUACUGGAAACGGUAGCUAAUACCGCAUACCAUCAGAUGCGCCCAGUUUGGAUGAGCUAGUAGGUGGGGUAAUGGCUCACCUAGGCGACGAUCCCUAGCUGGGAUGAGAGGAUGACCGGCCACACUGGAACGUAGACACGGUCCAGACUCCUACGGGAGGAAGCAGUAGGGAAUAUUUCACAAUGGGCGCAAGCCUGAUGCAGCAAUGCCGCGUGUGUGAAGAAGGCCUUCGGGUUGUAAAGCACUUUCAGCGGGGAAGCGUUACUCAACGAGAAAGCACCGGCUAACUCCGUGCCAGCCGCCGCGGUAAUUC